rnacentral:rRNA from 1 species
CCUACGGGUGGCAACAGUGAGGAAUAUUGGUCAAUGGCCGAGAGGCUGAACCAGCCAAGUCGCGUGAGUGAAGACGGCCCUACGGGUUGUAAACCUCUUUUGUCGGGGAGCAAAGAGAGUCACGUGUGACUCAUUGAGAGUACCCGAAGAAAAAGCAUCGGCUAACUCCGGACCAGCAGACGCGGUAAUACGGGGGAUGCGAGCGUUAUCCGGAUUUAUGGGGUUUAAAGGGUGCGCAGGCGGAGGUGCAAGUCAGCGGUAAAAUUGCGGGGCUCAACCCCGUACUGCCGUUGAAACUGCAUCCCUUGAGUGCGCGAGAGGGAUGCGGAAUGCGUGGUGUAGCGGUGAAAUGCAUAGAUAUCACGCAGAACUCCGAUUGCGAAGGCAGCAUACCGGCGCGCAACUGACGCUCAUGCACGAAAGCGUGGGUAUCGAACAGGAUUAGAUACCCUUGUAGUC